GGAAAACGCUCUUCUGAGAGGAUCUGUGGAGGUCAACCCAGGAGAGAGAAGACAGGACUGAAGCACUGAAAGGGUCCUGCCGUUAAGGGCGCAGGAUUGUAUAGAAUAUAUAAUAGCAGUAGCAGCUCUGUUUACGGAGCAUUAACCUUACGUGGAGUUAUUUCCUGCAUUUCCUCCUUUCGUCUUUACAAGGUAGCCGUUUGGCGUCGUGAGAGAUUGGGUCUCUCCACAUUGCCCCGGCUGCUCUCCAACCCCUGAGUUCAAGUGAUUCACCUCCCUUGGCCUCCCAAAGUACUGGGAUUACAGGCGUGAGCCACCGUGCCUGGCUGAGAAGAUGGAUUUAAGACAUAUUUUGGAGGUAACAUUGUCAGGACUUCCUGAAGGAUUAGAUGUGGAAGGGAAGGAUAAGAAACAGACCAAGGAUAACUUUCAAAUGUAUGCUUAAGCAACUGGAUGGAUAAUGAUGCCAUUGAGUGAGUGAAAAACUUGAUGGAAGUGGAAGAUUCAGAGUUCAUUUCUAUCUAGGUUAAUUUGAGACAUACCAGAGCAUAAGUUAAGUAAGUAAUUGAAUAUUGGAGUGGAGACUUAUUUGUCUACCGAAUUAUUGUUUUCUUUGUCGGACAUACACCUACACUGCAUUCCUCAAAGUAAAAUUUAAGUGUGGCUCUGUGCCUAUGCUCUCCCCAGCGGAAAGUGACCAGAAGAGGUGUGCAGUUUCCAGGCCUGGCCCAUACAGACCUCCAACAGGUGCUCCCCUGUGCUGUUACUCCUUCUGCCAACUGGAAGCAGAUGGUGACCAGGCUCUGGAGAAGGCAAGGCCUGAAGAUGGGAGAUUCCUAAGUGGAGGAGAACUGUGCCUUACUGACCUAAAUAUCCACUCAGUAUUGUUAUGUGAGAAUAAAUAAACUUGUGUUGA
rnacentral:lncRNA from 1 species